AAGGCAGGCUACAGGAGGGCAAUAAAGGUUUAGGGACUGACCCAAAUGACACCCGUGUAUUAACACAAUUAUAAGGUUCCGCAUUAUGUUGAGGAAUCGGAGAGAGGGAAACGCACCAAAGCAUUUCUUAGUUGUGAUCAUGUCAUUGUUAAGACACGGACAGCGGGCCUGCUGUGUGUCGCGCUAACGGGGUCCCAGGCAGGUGGGCUCCCCCCGGAGACCAAGCUCCUGUGCUCAGCUGGCUGCUCCCGGGCACCUUGGGUCUAACCAGGAAGGGGCCUGCAUUGCGUUCUAGCUCUGCCACUUGCAGGGGUGUUGGUUUUUAAGCAGAUUUUUCAGAUCCAGCAAACAUUUACGUGGGGACAGUGUCUACGGCUAAGUGCACCUCUGGUUCCAGACUCCCUGGAUGUAAGCACUGCGACCUCCCGGCCUGUGGCCGUGGACAGGCCUCACCUGCCGGCCUGUGGCCAUGGACAGGCCUCACCUCCUGGCCUGUGGCCAUGGACAGGCCUCACCUCCAGGCCUGUGGCCGUGGACAGGCCUCACCUCCAGGCCUGUGGCCGUGGACAGGCCUCACCUCCAGGCCUGUGGCCGUGGACAGGCCCCACCACCCGGCCUGUGGCCGUGGACAGGCCCCACCACCCGGCCUGUGGCCGUGGACAGGCCUCAGUUUCCCCGCUGCACAGCGAGAGAAGGCAUCUGAUGGAUCGCUGCAAGGGCUACAGGAGUUAAAAUGCAGGAAGUGCUCCGCACAGGGCGGUGCUCAUGAUCUUCAGCUUCACGCUGAAUCCGAAACCCACAGCUGUGGCCACACCUCGGAUCCAGUCAUCAGGUGAGUGGAGGCCACGGCGCAGGUUGGGCUGUGAGUUGACUUCUCUCCCCCUGCCUCUCCUCCCCUUGCGUCUGCGCCUUGUCCUCUGUGACCGCGAGUCUUUGCUCUCACCCGGGUCACGGUUUCCUCCCUUCUUGUAGUUACUGAACUGGGAGCACUCUUGCCGGCCAUGGACCUGCACUCUGGCUAGUACCUUCGUUCCGUGACCUUCAGCCAAGGUGACGGCAACAAUGUCGUUUUCUGUUUCCCUUUUCCGGGAACUCAGUCAGCCCCAGCCCAACCCUUCCUCCUGGCCCAGACCCUGCUUUCAUUUUUCCCUGGAAAAACCAAGACCAUCACUUGUGAGCGUCCUUCGUGUUUCCCCAUUUUCGGAGGCAACUAUAGGUUGAUCCUUCCCCUCAUCCUUAUCAAAGGGUUCCUCCUUCUGCGUCUUGGUUCUGCAGCUCCCUCCUGUUAGCUUUCUCGUCGUCAGCAUGAAACACCUUAGAGAACACACUGAAGCCCUAGCCGGUUUGGCUCAGUGGGUAGAGCGUCGGCCUGCGGACUGAAGGGUCCAGGGUUCGAUUCCGGUCUAGAGCACAUGCCUGGGUUGUGGGCUCCAUCCGCAGUGGAGUGCAUGCAGGAGGCAGCCGAUCAAUGAUUCUCAUUAAUGUUUCUCUCUCUCUCUCCCUUCCUCUCUGAAAUCAAUACAAAUAUAUU